UAAGCUGGUUUUGAGUCUAAACUGAUAUCCAGGCGUCAUGGUCGUCCAACUCCACCAUCACCAGUCAGAUCAGUUGACGUUGGGAGGAAAAGAACGAAUGUUACCCCAAAAUCUGAUCGCGACUCGGCAGUUGCUAUUGAACAUUCGAACAGCGGAGAGCUAGAGAAGAGAGUCAUGAUGAAAUUGCUUCCAGUUGCCGCUGUAUUUCUCUUGGUCGUCAUCUUGGCCGUCAUCCAGCCUUCAAACUGCCUCUUUCUCGGCCAAGGAGGAGUGUAUGACAGUCCGGAGGCACAAGCUUACUGGAACGAAAGGUUUGGCAAGGAUGUGUUCAGCGCUGCUCGAGCUGCUGGCAAGCUCUAUUCACAACGUGAGGCCAGAGUGGUGAGGCAACCAAUUAGUAGGCGGACAUCCCGAGUGACCCAAUACGUGCCGACCUUCAGUGGAACUUACUCCAAACCUUCAAGGUUCUACCCAACAGCCCAAAGACCAUAGAGAGAUAUGAGACAGUGCUUUUCUCAUCUCCCAAAUUGCAGUUGCUUGCUUGCCUGUCUGCCAGCAUGUCUACUUCCCUCCCUUAUCCCUCAAAAACCUUUAUCUAAAUCUGGAUUCUUACAGACACAUUCGCUAUGAGCAAUAAAUCUUAUAUUAUUCCAUACACUACA